rnacentral:tRNA from 1 species
GAGAGACAAGCACUAUGUUGGUGUGCGGCUAACUUGAAACUAGCGGGAGGGGGUUCAAGUCCCUCGUCUCUUG